rnacentral:rRNA from 1 species
CACCUGUUUAUCAAAAACAUGGUUUUUAGAAUAUAAUUUAAAAUUGGUCCUGCUCAAUGAAAAAUUUAAAUAGCUGCAGUAAAUUGACUGUACAAAGGUAGCAUAAUCAAUUGCUUUUUAAAUGGAAGCUAGUAUGAAGGGGUUGAUGAAAUUUUAACUGUUUCAAAGUAAAUAUAAGAAUUUAUAAAUUAAGUGAUAAUUCUUAAAUAGAGUUAAGGGACGAGAAGACCCUAUAGAAUUUUAUAUAAAAAAAAUUAAGUAAUAUAUAAUUGUAUUUAUAUUUAAUUGGGAGGAUUGUUAAAUUUUAAAAACUUUAAUUAAAAAUAAAAUAUAAAUUGAUGAAUUAAAGAGUUGAAUUAUAAAAUAAGAAAGAAUUAAUUACCUUAGGGAUAACAGCGUAAUAUUUUUGGAGAGAUCAUAUUAAUAAAAAUGUUUGCGACCUCGAUGUUGAAUUAAGAUAAAAAUUAAAUGGAGAGAUUUAAUAUUUAAGUCUGU